rnacentral:lncRNA from 14 species
GGAGUUGCCCUUUAAAUUGUGAGCCAAUUGUUGAUUUGGUUGUGGUGAUGCAGAUCUACAUAGAGGGUCAGGCCUGGAUGGCUGGGAUUUAAGAUUUUGACAAAGGAAACUCAGUCAGAUUUAAACCUUCACGAUUGCUCCAAAGGAAGAGAGCAUUAAGUUUUCAGAAGGAGUUCUCAUUUGAAGAUAAAGAAGAACUUGCAAACAGCACAAAGGAUAUUGAUGCUAAUCUCUUAGCAGUACUUCCAAAAGUUUCAGAAUUAAGAAAACUGUUUGAACCAA